CACCUGCACCCCGCAGCCCGAAUUAUGUGGGAGCUGCGCCGUUUCCGUAAUCCGUAGCACCACAUGAUUCGGCUUCGUGGUACAGGAUAU
ensembl:ncRNA mir-995 mir-995 stem loop